AUAAUGGGUCAGCGACUUAUAUUCUGUAGCAAGGUUAACCGAAUAGGGGAGCCGAAGGGAAACCGAGUCUUAACUGGGCGUUAAGUUGCAGGGUAUAGACCCGAAACCCGGUGAUCUAGCCAUGGGCAGGUUGAAGGUUGGGUAACACUAACUGGAGGACCGAACCGACUAAUGUUGAAAAAUUAGCGGAUGACUUGUGGCUGGGGGUGAAAGGCCAAUCAAACCGGGAGAUAGCUGGUUCUCCCCGAAAGCUAUUUAGGUAGCGCCUCGUGAAUUCAUCUCCGGGGGUAGAGCACUGUUUCGGCAAGGGGGUCAUCCCGACUUACCAACCCGAUGCAAACUGCGAAUACCGGAGAAUGUUAUCACGGGAGACACACGGCGGGUGCUAACGUCCGUCGUGAAGAGGGAAACAACCCAGACCGCCAGCUAAGGUCCCAAAGUCAUGGUUAAGUGGGAAACGAUGUGGGAAGGCCCAGACAGCCAGGAUGUUGGCUUAGAAGCAGCCAUCAUUUAAAGAAAGCGUAAUAGCUCACUGGUCGAGUCGGCCUGCGCGGAAGAUGUAACGGGGCUAAACCAUGCACCGAAGCUGCGGCAGCGACGCUUAUGCGUUGUUGGGUAGGGGAGCGUUCUGUAAGCC
rnacentral:rRNA from 1 species